rnacentral:rRNA from 1 species
UUCGGUCUACUACUCCACCCUUUGUUUACAUACCAUUGUUGCUUUGGCAGGCCCGUCGCAAGACAACCGGCUCCAGCUGGUCAGCGCCUGCCAGAGGAUCUAAAACUCAUGUUUAUAUUAUUGUCUGAGUACUAUAUAAUAGUUAAAACUUUCAACAACGGAUCUCUUGGUUCUGGCAUCGAUGAAGAACGCAGCGAAAUGCGAUAAGUAAUGUGAAUUGCAGAAUUCAGUGAAUCAUCGAAUCUUUGAACGCACAUUGCGCCCUCUGGUAUUCCGGGGGCAUGCCUGUUCGAGCGUCAUUACAACCCUCAAGCUCUGCUUGGUAUUAGGCUUCACCCCCAAGGGCGGGCUUCAAAAUCAGUGGCGGUGCCAUUUGGCUUCAAGCGUAGUAAUUUUCUCGCUUUGGAGGACCGAGUGUGUGCCUGCCAGCAACCCCAAUAUUUUUUAAAGGUUGACCUCGGAUCAGGUAGGGAUACCCGCUGAACUUAAGCAUAUCAAUAAGCGGAGGAAAAGAUACCAACAGGGAUUGCCUCAGUAACGGCGAGUGAAGCGGCAACAGCUCAAAUUUGAAAUCUGGCCUUCUGGUCCGAGUUGUAAUUUGUAGAGGAUGUUUCGAACGUGGUCCGGUCUAAGUUUCUUGGAACAGAACGUCAUAGAGGGUGAGAAUCCCGUAUGCGACUGGGUGCCUAAGUUCAUGUGAAGCUCCUUCGACGAGUCGAGUUGUUUGGGAAUGCAGCUCAAAAUGGGUGGNAAAUUUCAUCUAAAGCUNAAUAUUGGCCAGAGACCGAUAGCGCACAAGUAGAGUGAUCGAAAGAUGAAAAGCACUUUGGAAAGAGAGUUAAAACAGUACGUGAAAUUGUUGAAAGGGAAGCGCUUGCAACCAGACUUGCAUGCAGUUGAUCAUCCGAUGUUCUCAC